AUUGAACGCUGGCGGCAUGCCUUACACAUGCAAGUCGAACGGCAGCACGGGAGCAAUCCUGGUGGCGAGUGGCGAACGGGUGAGUAAUAUAUCGGAACGUGCCCAGUCGUGGGGGAUAACGCAGCGAAAGCUGUGCUAAUACCGCAUACGAUCUAAGGAUGAAAGCGGGGGAUCGCAAGACCUCGCGCGAUUGGAGCGGCCGAAAUCAGAUUCGCUAGUUGGUGGGGUAAAGGCCCACCAAGGCGACGAUCUGUAGCUGGUCUGAGAGGACGACCAGCCACACUGGAAAUGAGACACGGUCCAGACUCCUACGGGAGGCAGCAGUGGGGAAUUUUGGACAAUGGGCGCAAGCCUGAUCCAGCAAUGCCGCGUGCAGGAUGAAGGCCUUCGGGUUGUAAACUGCUUUUGUACGGAACGAAACGGCCCUUUCUAAUACAGGGGGCUAAUGACGGUACCGUAAGAAUAAGCACCGGCUAACUACGUGCCAGCCGCCGCCGUAA
rnacentral:rRNA from 1 species